rnacentral:rRNA from 1 species
GCAUAUCAAUAAGCGGAGGAAAAGAAACCAACAGGGAUUGCCUCAGUAACGGCGAGUGAAGCGGCAACAGCUCAAAUUUGAAAUCUGGCCCUAGGCCCGAGUUGUAAUUUGCAGAGGAUGCUUUUGGUGCGGUGCCUUCCAAGUUCCCUAGAACGGGACGCCAGAGAGGGUGAGAGCCCCGUACAGUUGGACACCAAGCCUUUGUAAAGCUCCUUCGACGAGUCGAGUAGUUUGGGAAUGCUGCUCAAAAUGGGAGGUAUAUUUCUUCUAAAGCUAAAUACCGGCCAGAGACCGAUAGCGCACAAGUAGAGUGAUCGAAAGAUGAAAAGCACUUUGAAAAGAGGGUUAAACAGCACGUGAAAUUGUUAAAAGGGAAGCGCUUGUGACCAGACUUGCGUCCGGUGAAUCACCCAGCUCUCGCGGCUGGGGCACUUCGCCGGCUCAGGCCAGCAUCAGCUCGCUGUCGGGGACAAAAGCUUCGGGAACGUAGCUCUCUUCGGGGAGUGUUAUAGCCUGUUGCACAAUACCCUUCGGCGGGCUGAGGUACGCGCUCCGCAAGGAUGCUGGCAUAAUGGUCAUCAGCGACCCGUCUUGAAACACGGACCAAGGAGUCAACCUUAUGUGC